GAUGAAGAACGUAGCGAAAUGCGAUACUUGGUGUGAAUUGCAGAAUCCCGUGAACCAUCGAGUCUUUGAACGCAAGUUGCGCCUCAAGCCAUUAGGUUGAGGGCACGUCUGCCUGGGCGUCACAUAUCGUUGCCUGAUGCCAGUUUCCUCGUGAUGGGUGACUGUGCAGGGCGAAUGAUGGCUUCCCGUGAGCAUUGUUGCCUCAUGGUUGGUUGAAAAUUGAGUCCUUGGUAGGGAGCGCCGUGAUAGAUGGUGGUUGAGUGACGAACGAGACCCAAUCAUGUGAGACCCCUACCGAAUUUGGCCUUCAUGACCCACAUGCGUCUUUGGAACGCUCAUGACGAGACCUCAGGUCAGGCGGGGCUACCCGCUGAGUUUAAGCUUAUCAAUAAGCGGAGGA
rnacentral:misc_RNA from 1 species